AGUUUGAUCCUGGCUCAGGAUGAACGCUGACAGAAUGCUUAACACAUGCAAGUCUACUUGAACUUCGGUUUGGGUGGCGGACGGGUGAGUAACGCGUAAAGAACUUGCCUCACAGUUAGGGACAACAUUUGGAAACGAAUGCUAAUACCUGAUAUUAUGAUUUUAGGGCAUCCUAAGAUUAUGAAAGCUAUAUGCGCUGUGAGAGAGCUUUGCGUCCCAUUAGCUAGUUGGAGAGGUAACGGCUCACCAAGGCGAUGAUGGGUAGCCGGCCUGAGAGGGUGAACGGCCACAAGGGGACUGAGACACGGCCCUUACUCCUACGGGAGGCAGCAGUGGGGAAUAUUGGACAAUGGACCAAAAGUCUGAUCCAGCAAUUCUGUGUGCACGAUGACGUUUUUCGGAAUGUAAAGUGCUUUCAGUUGGGAAGAAAAAAAUGACGGUACCAACAGAAGAAGUGACGGCUAAAUACGUGCCAGCAGCCGCGGUAAUACGUAUGUCACAAGCGUUAUCCGGAUUUAUUGGGCGUAAAGCGCGUCUAGGUGGUUAUGUAAGUCUGAUGUGAAAAUGCAGGGCUCAACUCUGUAUUGCGUUGGAAACUGCAUGACUAGAGUACUGGAGAGGUAAGCGGAACUACAAGUGUAGAGGUGAAAUUCGUAGAUAUUUGUAGGAAUGCCGAUGGGGAAGCCAGCUUACUGGACAGAUACUGACGCUAAAGCGCGAAAGCGUGGGUAGCAAACAGGAUUAGAUACCCUGGUAGUCCACGCCGUAAAC
rnacentral:rRNA from 1 species